GGCAAUGCCCCGUUUCCCUUUCAGUCAAGGGCCAAACGACCUUUAAGAGAGAAGAGGGUUUCCUCUCUCCAACCCUAGCCGCCUCAUUUGAGUUUCUCUCUCCUUCUUUGCUUUAUUACAAAAAAUGAUGAUAGUGCAGGGGCCACAGGCGUUGCGACAAGCUUGGCAUGGCUAAAUAGGUAGCAUUAAAUGCGACACCACGGGUUUUCACCAAACGCAACCCAAAGGGAGAAGAAUUGAAAUCCGACCGUUCAUGGCAUGAUUGGCAUCAAUCUGGUUCGUCUAUUUCAAAGUGUAAUGAAAUUGCUUGAGUUUUGGUUUAUCCCACAUCGAAAAAAUUAGGGUUUGGGGUAUUUGGGAACUCUAUAAAUAGAAGGCCUUUUUUUUCAUUGUCAGAGAUAGCUUGCAAUCUGAAAAUCUCACUUUUGCAAAAGGAACUCGAAAUACUUGGGGUUUCUAAGUAUUCAAGACCUUUAAUUUUUUUAUUUUUUUUGAGUUCGAGUUUAAGUUUAAAAUUUUUAGUUUUUAUAUUCUUGUGUGGCGAAUAUUGGUUAAUUUGAGCUUCUGGGGGGAACAUUAGGGGUCUUCCAAGUUCCAUCUCGACCUAAGGCUGCAUCAAAAAAAGACUUCCAUUAUCUCGAGGUUCAAAAGAAAGGAAAGACUAAGUUUUGACUAUUGGAGACUUUGUUGUUCGGCUUUCCAGGUAGGUUAUGGCUUACCUUCUGGUUAGACUUCGGUUAGCGAAGCAAAUGUAUAGUCAGUUUAUGUUGGAGAAAACAUGUAAACUUCUGUAUGAAGUUGGGUUGGAUAUUGACUUAUGUUGGGCCUUGUUGUAUGAUUUGGGGGCUAGCCACUUUAUUGUGUUGUCGGCUUACCUUGAUUUAUUUACUUACUGGCCCAUUGCCACAUUGAGACACUGGGUAUUUGUGACUUGUGAUAUAUCAUGACUAUGUUAUUGUUGUGCUAUACUUGAUUAAGACUAGUGAUGAGAAUUGUGAUUCCAUUAUGGUUAUUGUGUGGCCUUAUUAUUGAUAUUACUUGUGUGCCUAUGUGGUACUAUUUGGGAUUGAAUUGGUUAUUGAUAUUACAUUGUAUCGUAUUCAUACUCAUUUCCAUGAUACAUUGAUAUUGCAUGGUUAUGGUACUCAUGAUGAUAAGUAAGAGAGUGUAGCCUCCGAGGUCUUUGCCAGAGAGCAUGAAAGGGAGAUGAGAGUUCGUGAUCCAAGGUCAUUUACCGGAGCGGAAUGAGUGUUGAUAAGAGAUCUUGUUGUUAUCAUCUGUAUACUUGAAUCAUACAUUGAACACUCAUCCUUUAUAUGUAUAUAUAUGACACAUUUGACCGGGGGUGACGAUGUGGCCUAUGUUGUUUUUAAAAAUACUUGGGAGGUGUUAUACUAAUUGCGCGACCAUUCUAUGUUGUGUGACAUGGGAUGGUCAGCAGGAAUGAAGGUUGGAAAGCUCGUCUCUAGGCUGUGUGUUACGGAGCGACAUAGUACAUGGACUUCAAGGAUCCCCCAUGGGUCAUGACUGUCGAGACAUGAUGUUCCGCUCGAGGCAUGUGUGUACACGAUUACCAGGAUAGAUCGACCUCUACUCCUCGUGGUUGAUAUUCGAGGAUUGCUUAUUCGAGUAUUCAGGGUGAGCAUGAGGACGUUCAUUGUCCGGAGAAUCUUCCUUCUAUUAUGUCUUUAUUUCCAUCCUGAGACAUGAUUUUGAGACUAUUUAGGUAUUACUUUUAUUUAGACUUAUAGUAUUUAGUUAGAUGCUCUUGUAUGACUAGACUAGAUACUGGGUGUAUUUCCUUUACUUCCGCAUUUUCUUAAAUUAUUAUCGCAAGAGUUACGUUAUUAUA